rnacentral:rRNA from 1 species
GACGAACGCUGGCGGCGUGCUUAACACAUGCAAGUCGAACGGAAAGGCCCUGCUUUUGUGGGGUGCUCGAGUGGCGAACGGGUGAGUAACACGUGAGUAACCUGCCCCUGACUUUGGGAUAACUUCAGGAAACUGGGGCUAAUACCGGAUAGGAGCUCCUGCUGCACGGUGGGGGUUGGAAAGUUUCGGCGGUUGGGGAUGGACUCGCGGCUUAUCAGCUUGUUGGUGGGGUAGUGGCUUACCAAGGCUUUGACGGGUAGCCGGCCUGAGAGGGUGAACGGCCACAUUGGGACUAAGGUACGGACCAGACUCCUACGGGAGGCAGCAGUGGGGAAUAUUGCACAAUGGGCGGAAGCCUGAUGCAGCAACGCCGCGUGCGGGAUGACGGCCUUCGGGUUGUAAACCGCUUUCGCCUGUGACGAAGCGUGAGUGACGGUAAUGGGUAAAGAAGCACCGGCUAACUACGUG